CUACGGGGUGCAGCAGUGGGGAAUAUUGGACAAUGGGGGGAACCCUGAUGCAGCAACGCCGCGUGGAGGAUGACGCAUUUCGGUGUGUAAACUCCUUUUAUAUGUCAAGAAAAUGACGGUAGCAUAUGAAUAAGCACCGGCUAACUCCGUGCCAGCAGCCGCGGUAAUACGGGAGGGUGCAAGCGUUACUCGGAAUCACUGGGCGUAAAGGACGCGUAGGCGGGUUGGAAAGUCAGGUGUGAAAUCCUACAGCUUAACUGUAGAACUGCACUUGAAACUUCUAAUCUAGAGUAUGGGAGGGGGAGAUGGAAUUAGUGGUGUAGGGGUAAAAUCCGUAGAUAUCACUAGGAAUACCUAAAGCGAAGGCGAUCUCCUGGAACAUUACUGACGCUAAGGCGUGAAAGCGUGGGGAGCAAACAGGAUUAGAUACCCGCGUAGUC
rnacentral:rRNA from 1 species